rnacentral:rRNA from 1 species
UGCGGAGGAUCAUUAUUGAAAUAAACCUGAUGGGUGUUGCUGGCUCUCUAGGGUUGUGCACACUUGUCAUCUUUAUAUCUCCACCUGUGCACUUUUUGUAGACCUUUCAGGUCUAUGUUGCUUCAUUUACCCCAUGUUGUAUAGAAUGUUGCCUAUAUAAUAUACAACUUUCAGCAACGGAUCUCUUGGCUCUCGCAUCGAUGAAGAACGCAGCGAAAUGCGAUAAGUAAUGUGAAUUGCAGAAUUCAGUGAAUCAUCGAAUCUUUGAACGCACCUUGCGCUCCUUGGUAUUCCGAGGAGCAUGCCUGUUUGAGUGUCAUUAAUCAACCUUCUCUUUUUUUUUUGGAUGUGGGGGUUUGCUGGCCUCUUCAGCUCCCCUGAAAUGCAUUAGCAGAACAACCUGUUCAUUGGCGUGAUAAUUAUCUAUGCUAUUGAAUGUGAGGGCAGUUCAGCUUCUAACCGAAUUCAUCAUUAAUGUGACCUCAAAUCAGGUAGGACUACCCGCUGAACUUAAGCAUAUCAAUAAGCGGAGGAA